GUGUUCCUGUUUUUAAUAACGGGAACGUUUGUGGUACUGCCUCUAUUCUCGGAGGAAAGUAGGGUCACCACCCUGUUGGGUCUAUGCUGGAUACCACUAGGAGCAGCGUUUUACGGUAUCCGGCAUCUUAUAACACGGUAUCUUGUUAAGCAGAAUGCGGUACCCGGCAUCUUAUAGCACGGUAUCUUGUUAAGCAGAAUGCGGUACCCGGCAUCUUGUAACAUGGUAUAUUGUUAAGCAGAAUGCGGCAUCUUACAGCACGGUAUCUUAUCAGGUCUAAGCUGGUUACCACUAGGAGCGGCAGUUUACGGCAUCCGGCAUCUUAUUAAACAGUGCUGCUACAAGAAGCUCGAACAGAAGACCUCAAGUCAGUCUAGUUUAGAUUCUGGGUAUAGUGAGGUUGACCGACACAUCAAGGAAUGUAAACUUAGCUAAGACUGAGUUGAACUGAGAUAACAUUUGUAUGAUUCUUUUAUAUUAGUGUUUUAUAUUAAUAUAAUAAAAACUUUUGAGAGUUUGACAUUCAGAUUAAUAAAACAUCCAAAGAAUUAUUCUAAAUUCUAAUUGGUAAUAUUAUGAAGGAGUAUAUAAUUGGUAAACAAAACAAAGUUACAUCUGAAGAGUUUUUAGUUUUUAUGUUUGGUCCCUAUCAUGUACCUGCAGCAUUCUGUUACGGGUAUUUGUUUUUGUUUUAACUUGGGUUUAAGAUUGUGACUUUUCAUUUGUACGGCA